GAGUUUGAUCGUGGCUCAGAUUGAACGCUGGCGGCAUGCCUUACACAUGCAAGUCGAACGGCAGCAUGAUCUAGCUUGCUAGAUUGAUGGCGAGUGGCGAACGGGUGAGUAAUACAUCGGAACGUGCCCUGUAGUGGGGGAUAACUAGUCGAAAGAUUAGCUAAUACCGCAUACGACCUGAGGGUGAAAGUGGGGGACCGCAAGGCCUCAUGCUAUAGGAGCGGCCGAUGUCUGAUUAGCUAGUUGGUGGGGUGAAGGCCCACCAAGGCGACGAUCAGUAGCUGGUCUGAGAGGACGAUCAGCCACACUGGGACUGAGACACGGCCCAGACUCCUACGGGAGGCAGCAGUGGGGAAUUUUGGACAAUGGGCGAAAGCCUGAUCCAGCAAUGCCGCGUGUGUGAAGAAGGCCUCGGUUGUAAG
rnacentral:rRNA from 1 species